CACCGAGGUGGCUUCUUAAGUUGGAUGUAAAAUCUCCUGGCUUAACUGGGAGGCGCCAUUCAAAACUGAGGAGCUUGAGGUCAGCAGGGGAAGGUGGAAUUCCCGGUGUAGUGGUGGAAUGCGUAGAGAUCGGGAGGAACACCAGUGGCGAAAGCGACCUUCUGGGCUGCACCUGACACUCUAGUGCGAAAGCGUGGGGAGCAAACAGGAUUAGAUACCCUGGUAGUCCACGCCCUAAACGAUGGAUACUAGGUGUGGGAGGUAUUGACCCCUUCCGUGCCGAAGCCAACGCGUUAAGUAUCCCGCCUGGGGACUACGGCCGCAAGGUUAAA
rnacentral:rRNA from 1 species